GUUUUAAUAAUUUAAUAAAAAUAUUGGUCUUGUAAACCAAAAAUAAGGUACCCUUUUAAAACU
rnacentral:tRNA from 2 species